UACGAAGGGGGGCUAGCGUUGUUCGGAAUUACUGGGCGUAAAGCGCACGUAGGCGGAUUGUUAAGUCAGGGGUGAAAUCCCAGGGCUCAACCCUGGAACUGCCUUUCAUACUGGCGAUCUCGAGUCCGGAAGAGGUGAGUGGAACUCCUAGUGUAGAGGUGGAAUUCGUAGAUAUUAGGAAGAACACCAGUGGCGAAGGCGGCUCACUGGUCCGGUACUGACGCUGAGGUGCGAAAGCGUGGGGAGCAAACAGG
rnacentral:rRNA from 1 species